rnacentral:lncRNA from 1 species
AAAACUUUUAAUAAGGUAUACACCCUGGUACCUUCCCAUGCUAAUCAGAACUACGUGGUGCAAAACCAAGGUACUAUUUUCAACCGAGCACCACAUGCAGGGGAAGGUAAGAAAAACUGACUGGCAGGGAAGUGCAUCAUUUUAGACUUACCUCUUCAAUUAGAGUAUUGAUUUCAGGUGCUGCCUUAUUUGCACGCUUUUUUAACUGCUUUUUUGCCUUGUUUACAUCUUUCUCAACUCUCUUCCAGUCAACUUGUACAUAUCCACUAUGACUAGCGAUUUGAAGCAGAAGAAAGCCACCACCUACUGCAGUUGCUGCAAGCUUUCCGACUUUCUGGAACAAAAAUCCCGCACACCAGCCAGUCACUCCACCCAUCACGAUCUGUGUAGCUACAGAGUAUUUUUCUACAAUUGGUCCUGAAUUCCGGCCAAACAAACGAUUCCACCAGUGGUGACGCCUUGCAUAUUCCGUUAGGUCCAACACUUCAUAGGAGUCAUCAUCACUUUCAUGUUCUGGGGCGGUGCGGGGCCUCCGCGCCGCCAUGUUGGCUGCUGCUGAUAGCGGAGCCGGGCCCAAGGCCGCGCUGCUCCACCCCCCGCGGCCGCUCUGCGCUGCUGGCGGCCGCCUUCCUCUGCGGCCGCGCGGUGGUAGCGCGCAUGCGCCCGCCGUCCUUUCCACCCGAGCGGGC